rnacentral:lncRNA from 1 species
AUGGCCAUAUUUUUUACAGAGUUGGCAUGUUUUUUAAUCUCUGUGAUACUUGACUCAUCCUCUUGUCCAGUGAGAAGAAGUAAACAGUCUGCCCUGGACUUUGUCACCACUACCAGUUCACCAGAGUCGUCCCAAGCACAGGGACAACAGCUCACACUCGAGAACACCAAGACCCACAGCUCCUGGCAGAUUCUGGAUAGCCUUUCCAAGCCACCAGUACCCCUGCUUCCAUUUUCUCCAGCCACACUGACAGCUGUUUGAAAAUCAUAGACUUCAGUCUAUGGUGUUUUCAUGUGAAGAUAGGCAAACAGGUUAAUAAAUUCACUCAAGGUUACUGAGAUCUCA